UACGUAGGUGGCAAGCGUUAUCCGGAUUUACUGAGUGUAAAGGGCGUGUAGGCGGGACUGCAAGUCAGGUGUGAAAACCACGGGCUCAACCUGUGGCCUGCAUUUGAAACUGUAGUUCUUGAGUGCUGGAGAGGCAAUCGGAAUUCCGUGUGUAGCGGUGAAAUGCGUAGAUAUACGGAGGAACACCAGUGGCGAAGGCGGAUUGCUGGACAGUAACUGACGCUGAGGCGCGAAAGCGUGGGGAGCAAACAGG
rnacentral:rRNA from 1 species